rnacentral:rRNA from 1 species
UACGAAGGGGGCUAGCGUUGCUCGGAAUUACUGGGCGUAAAGGGAGCGUAGGCGGAUAUUUAAGUCGGGGGUGAAAGCCCAGGGCUCAACCCUGGAACUGCCUUCGAUACUGGAUAUCUAGAGUAUGAGAGAGGUGUGUGGAACUCCGAGUGUAGAGGUGAAAUUCGUAGAUAUUCGGAAGAACACCAGUGGCGAAGGCGACACACUGGCUCAUUACUGACGCUGAGGCGCGAAAGCGUGGGGAGCAAACAGG